rnacentral:rRNA from 1 species
UGGGGAAUUUUGGACAAUGGGCGAAAGCCUGAUCCAGCAAUGCCGCGUGUGUGAAGAAGGCCUUCGGGUUGUAAAGCACUUUUGUCCGGAAAGAAAUCCUUGGCUCUAAUACAGUCGGGGGAUGACGGUACCGGAAGAAUAAGCACCGGCUAACUACGUGCCAGCAGCCGCGGUAAUACGUAGGGUGCAAGCGUUAAUCGGAAUUACUGGGCGCAAAGCGUGCGCAGGCGGUUUGCUAAGACCGAUGUGAAAUCCCCGGGCUCAACCUGGGAACUGCAUUGGUGACUGGCAGGCUAGAGUAUGGCAGAGGGGGGUAGAAUUCCACGUGUAGCAGUGAAAUGCGUAGAGAUGUGGAGGAAUACCGAUGGCGAAGGCAGCCCCCUGGGCCAAUACUGACGCUCAUGCACGAAAGCGUGGGGAGCAAACAGGAUUAGAUACCCUGGUAGUCCACGCCCUAAAACGAUGUCAACUAGUUGUUGGGGAUUCAUUUCCUUAGUAACGUAGCUAACGCGUGAAGUUGACCGCCUGGGGAGUACGGUCGCAAGAUUAAAACUCAAAUGAAUUGACGGGGUCAUAGCUGUUUCCU